rnacentral:sRNA from 1 species
AAUUUGAAGGUUCAACGGCAGCUUGAU